CUAUCAUUUAUGAAAUUCACCUCAUCAGUCACAAACUCACAAUCCAGUGGGUAUGGUUAACAACUUUUCCCACUCGUCAUAGUUUCUCUUUCUAUCUUGAAAUUGGAGACAGCGUAAGUGGAAAGUUGAAAUUUAAUUAUCGCAACCGUUUCAUAAUCCAGAAACGAAUGAUUUAUUUAUUGCGAUUGGAGUAGAAAGGAGAAGGAUCUUGACAGUAGUUGGAAAGUCUCAUUCCGUGGAGGAAGUUGUGAGUUCGUCUCUUAUGAGUUUCAGGGAGGAGGAGGUUUGAGCUCAGCUCGAUAUCAAACCAUGGACUGAGGGAUGAGAUGACAUCUCAUUAUAUUCAACUAUUCAUUAAGUUCAAAUCCGAGCACAAACUCCCUGCCCACCGAUACUCCAUGAGAAACAACUCCUCCAAAUUAUGUCCUACAAGUGCUUAUUGAGAAAAGGUUUUGUGGAUUGAAUUUCAACUUUCCGCUUUGGCUGUCUCCAAUUUUAACAUAGAAAGAGAAAAUAUGACGAGCGGGCAAAAUUGUAAACCGUAUCCAAUAAAAACAAUAUUUGUAUAGUUUGUAGACUAUAGAGACAAAAAAAUAUAGAGUGCUUUCAGAUUGAGGAAGAAAUUGGAGGGAGAGACAGCUGAUGAAUAUAAACAACAAAAGGAUCAAAACAUUCAAUUAUUAUAUGGUAAAUACCCAUUUUGUCGGUCUUAAUGAUGUGAUUUUAGGGGCGUAAUGGAUACUGAGGGUACUCAACAUAGUUCAAAUUUCCCUCUUUUCUCUUAUUAAAAUGGCAAAUAUAAAUUUGAAACCUAGAAAAUGCGAAAUAGUUCAUUGUCAUUGUUAUAAUGAUUCAUCAAUCUCAAUUUCACUCUUAGGAAAGAGUAUGAUCUUUCAAGGAAUCUCCACGAUUCGUCUUUAAAUUCGUCUUGAAUCGCAUGAAGCCUAUAACAACAUUAUGAAGAACAUUUUCAUAAUUGAUUUUUUCUUAUAAAUUCCUAAUAUUCUCGUUUGUUCUCGUAAAUACUUAUUUUAAUAAAAAAUGUUUUAGAAUACCUAAGACAAAUAAACAUGUAA
rnacentral:lncRNA from 1 species